AGCGAACGCUGGCGGCAGGCCUAACACAUGCAAGUCGAACGAACCUUUCGGGGUUAGUGGCGGACGGGUGAGUAACACGUGGGAACGUGCCUUUAGGUUCGGAAUAACUCAGGGAAACUUGUGCUAAUACCGAAUGUGCCCUUCGGGGGAAAGAAUAAUCGCCUUUAGAGCGGCCCGCGUCUGAUUAGCUAGUUGGUUGAGGUAAUGGCUCACCAAGGCGACGAUCAGUAGCUGGUCUGAGAGGAUGAUCAGCCACAUUGGGACUGAGACACGGCCCAAACUCCUACGGUAGGCAGCAGUGGGGAAUCUUGCGCAAUGGGCGAAAGCCUGACGCAGCCAUGCCGCGUGAAUGAUGAAGGUCUUAGGAUUGUAAAAUUCUUUCACCGGGGACGAUAAUGACGGUACCCGGAGAAGAAGCCCCGGCUAACUUCGUG
rnacentral:rRNA from 1 species